rnacentral:lncRNA from 1 species
CUUGUAUGCCCCUUUUGUGUUUACAUGUUUGUUUCUUUUUUAAAUUUUAUAGCAUUGAUCAUCAUCAGAUGUUUCUUGCACACCAAGCAUAUUCAACCUUUAAACUUAUUAACUAAGAAUCUCUUAAGGAUCUAACUUGAGUUUUAGAUUGAUCAUCAAGUUUUUUUUUUUUUUUUUUUUGAACAAGUCAAAAUGGAAUAUAUUAGAUCACUAAAGCUGGCUCAAAUCGUACAAGGUGUGCCAAAAGAACCACCCACCAAAAAACAAUUACAAAAGUUUGUCACCAAAUAAUAAUGUUACAGAAGAAUGAAAAAAACAAGGCUACACAAAAACACCCAUGCAAAGUAAUGGAUGCCGCCACCAGUCAUUAUAACUGAAGGCGAAAGUGGGCACAUUUGCCUUUAGCCAAGAGAAAGACAAAAAUUUGACAUUGUCUCUUAAAUGAUGCAAGUCAACGUUCUUCUGGUUGAAAAUCUUGUUGUUUCUUUCCUUCCAAAUAACUCAAACAGUAGCCAUCCAGAUUACUGUCAUAAAAGAGUGUGUAGACCGUGGUAAUCCCGCAUAGCGACCGAACUGAUGAAGAUGUGCUGCAACUGCAGCUGAAGCUAUGAAAGAAAUGCCUAGCCAUUGAAAUAAGAGAUGCCUUACCAUACCAAAAUGAUCACACCGAGUUUAUUUAUUGAAAAGAUAAUUAAUUUGAGAUAGUUUUAUCAAAUUACUAAAUGGUAAAUUUAAGGAAGAUUUAUAAAAUAU